ACGGGUGAGUAACACGUGGGUGAUCUGCCCUGCACUUCGGGAUAAGCCUGGGAAACUGGGUCUAAUACCGGAUAUGACCACGCGAUGCAUGUUGUGUGGUGGAAAGCUUUUGCGGUGUGGGAUGGGCCCGCGGCCUAUCAGCUUGUUGGUGGGGUUAAGGCCUACCAAGGCGACGACGGGUAGCCGGCCUGAGAGGGUGACCGGCCACACUGGGACUGAGAUACGGCCCAGACUCCUACGGGAGGCAGCAGUGGGGAAUAUUGCACAAUGGGCGCAAGCCUGAUGCAGCGACGCCGCGUGAGGGACGACGGCCUUCGGGUUGUAAACCUCUUUCAGCACAGACGAAGCGCAAGUGACGGUAUGUGCAGAAGAAGGACCGGCCAACUACGUGCCAGCAGCCGCGGUAAUACGUAGGGUCCGAGCGUUGUCCGGAAUUACUGGGCGUAAAGAGCUCGUAGGUGGUUUGUCGCGUUGUUCGUGAAAACUCACAGCUCAACUGUGGGCGUGCGGGCGAUACGGGCAGACUGGAGUACUGCAGGGGAGACUGGAAUUCCUGGUGUAGCGGUGGAAUGCGCAGA
rnacentral:rRNA from 1 species